ACGUGGGACUUGUUUUUUUGAUUUUGACCUGGCACUUCUUGGUAUUGACUUAUGACUAGGUAAGGGACUUCUUCUGGACUUGGGAGUUGAUUUAAGUAUCAAUUCUGACAUACGAAAGGUGUUUUUAGUUGUGAUUGAUAUGACAAGGCACUUUGUUGAAACUUGACUUGGAACUUGAUGAUGAUUGUGGAUAUGUUGGGCAAACUUGGGACCUAUUGGUUUUGACCUGGCACUUGUUGGUUUUGACUCUGGACUUGGUAAGGAACUAAUUCUACUUUUUUUGGACUUGGGAGUUUACCUUAUUAUGAAUUCGUACAUAGGAAAGGUGGUUUUAGUUGCGGUUGAUACGACAAGCACUUUGUUUGAACUUGACCUGGCACUUUGAUGUGGGACUUGUUGGUCUUGACUCUGGAUUUCUUUUGGUCUUGACUUGGGACAUAACUUGGCACUUGUUGAACUUAAUGUGGGACUUGACUCUGGACUUUCUGGUCUUGACUUGGGACAAAUUAAGGGACUUUCUCUUGAUUUGGAAGUUGAAUUUAUUCCGACCUCAGAGAGAUGUUUUAGUUGCUGUUGGAUGAUAUGACAAGCACUUUGUUUGAACUUGACUUGGGACCUGACGGUCUUCACUCGGGACUUACCAAUGAGCCAAUAAGAAGUUUGUUUGAAGCAUACCGAGGCCUUACCUCUGCACGGUCAAAAGUAUGAAAACAAGUCUUAGGGCAAAAUUGCCAGUCCUCACUUACGACUGGAUUUAUAAUGUAAAAAUUGUCUUUUUAACGUCAGAUAUCCACAAUUCGUUUGAAAAGUUGCAAUAAGGUGUGGCGUUACAGAAAGCUAAGAUGGACAAUAUUCCGCCAGAAAGCACAUGAGAUGUUUCUCAGCCCUGAUAUCAAAGUGAAAUGAUGCUUUAAGUGUCUUGUUGGGAAUCUAGGGUUGAUGUAAAAAGGUUCAGAGUAAAACCUGUGGUUCCCUCCGCUGGGCCAAACUGGGCAAAACUGGAAAUAUUAAAUAAGUUUGGAAAAGUUCUGGAUGUGAAGGAGAUCUAAAAAGGAGUUCAAGAAAUGUUUC